GAUGAAGAACGCAGCGAAAUGCGAUAAGUAAUGUGAAUUGCAGAAUUCAGUGAAUCAUCGAAUCUUUGAACGCACAUUGCGCCCUUUGGCAUUCCGAAGGGCACACCUGUCCGAGCGCCGUCGCACAACUGAGGCGCAGCCUUGCGUUGGCGGGCGACUUGUGAGUAGCGAGCCGCCGCCCAAACGAGACGGCGCCGCGCCGCGGCCGACGAAGCACGAAAGCGGAAGUCGACGCGGAGGCGGUUGCCUGUAGGAAGACACAGCUUGGCCUCGGAUCAGGUGGGGAUACCCGCUGAACUUAAGCAUAUCAAUAAGCGGAGGA
rnacentral:misc_RNA from 1 species